CCUACGGGGUGCAGCAGUGAGGAAUAUUGGUCAAUGGCCGGAAGGCUGAACCAGCCAUGCCGCGUGAAGGUCAGUGCCCUAUGGGCUUUAAACUUCUUUUGUGCGGGAGCAAUAAUGGUCACGUGUGGCCAGACGAGAGUUCCGUACGAAUAAGCAUCGGCUAACUCCGUGCCAGCAGCCGCCGUAAUACGGGGGAUGCAAGCGUUAUCCGGAUUUAUUGGGUUUAAAGGGUGCGUAGGCUGGGAGGUAAGUCAGCGGUGAAAUGCCCCCGCUCAAAGGGGUGAAGUGCCAUUGAUACGGGCUUGCUGGAAUGCGGAUGCGGUGGGAGGAAUGUGUGGUGUAGCGGUGAAAUGCAUAGAUAUCACACAGAACACCGAUUGCGAAGGCAUCUGACGAAUCCGCGAUUGACGCUGAUGCACGAAAGCGUGGGUAUCAAACAGGAUUAGAUACCCUGGUAGUC
rnacentral:rRNA from 1 species